rnacentral:lncRNA from 1 species
UAUUUAUCUUCCUUUUCAUUAAGAAAUGUUAUGAAAUUGAUGCUUUUAGUUGGUUUCCAAUUGUUUCUGUUAUUUGUGUUGGUGUCGUCGCAGGAAGAACAUUCAUUUCACGAUUACUUUUGGUAUUUGUUUGUAAGACAUAGAACAACCUCGACAUAUUGAGCCAUGAGACUUCGGGUCCUAACUUGUGGUUCUUACAUUCAACUUGUCGUGGUAAUUGAAGCAAAUCACUUUCCCUUGGUGUAGUAGAGAAGUUAGAAAAAAAAAAGUGAACAAUUCUGAUUCUAUCUCCUACUAGCUGUGUGAACUAAAAUCACUUAACUUCUUGGAGUAAAAAUAAUUUAGAUGAAUAGCUUGUAUCUCCCAGGGUUGUGAGGUUAAAAUUAAUAAUACGUUAAAAAUGCCCUGCAUGUAGAUGCUUAAUAGACACCGUUUCCCUCCCCUGCCACCUGAACUGAGACACAGACAAAUGAUGGGACGAAGCAAGAAUAGACGCCUGCUAUCUAUCUAUCUAUCUAUCUAUCUUCUAUCUAUCUAUCUAUCUAUCUAUCUAUCUAUCUAUCUAUCUACCUCUGUAUCUAUCAUAUAUUUACCAGAAAACCUUGUUCUCAAAUCUAGAACACCGAUGCACAAAAUAGAUACAAUGGAGCUGCUCUGGAAAACCAAAUCACAUCAGCAGUUUUCAUACCCACAACUCAAUGGCCUGAGCAAGUCACCUGGUUUGUCAGACUAGCAGAGCUCUACAAGCUGCCACAAUAGAUGUGCAUUCAGUGAGAGGACCGCAGUUGUAAAUGUAAUCGGUUUACCAUGGAUGGCUAACCACACUCACAGAGUAUCGAUUUUUCUAAUUUAAUCCUCAGAAGACAUCAUGUUGCUUUUAUGUAUUGAUGCCUGAUUUCCUCCAUGCUACCUUGGCCUCAGAGAGGAAUUUUGCUGGUCUUCUACUGCCUGUGAGUCGGGAGGAAAGAAGAGGAAGCUAACCUGACUAAAGCUUGCUCACUGUGUCUUUGAAGAAGGUUGCAGAUUCUAAUCCAGACACAGGAGUUGAAUCUGAGCUGUAUGCCACUUAUUAGGGGCCGAAUUUGUUUGCUUGACUAAGAAGAUCACAUCUCAACUGUUGUAAGAAUUGGGGUUCCUCCUUGAUGAAGCAUACAGACAUCCACUAUCAUUCUCUUUGAUCUUUUUUUUCCCUGCAUUGGCCCUAUAGGAGAGUUAAAUGAGUUAAUAGUAAGAGUCAAUAACUCCCUGCACCUUUUAGCUUUUUAGCUUUUUUUUACUUUAAUGUUACUGGCAAUGCCCCUCUCCCUCCUGGUGCAGUAUUGCCUCAUUUUUCUGAUUUGGUAAGAAAAUAUAGGGAGCCAAGGUGGUAAAACUGAAAGUUGUUGCAGAUACCUCUCCUAAUUAUACACUCAUACCUAGAAGAAAUAACCUUGAGAAGGAUAUAGGUAUCUAUAAUAGACUGAACAGUGGCCUCCCAGAAAUGUUGGUCUCCUAAUUCCUACAACCUGUAAAUGCUUUUAUGCCUUUUACAGCAAAAAAAAGGACUUUUCAGAUAUGAUCAAGUUAAGGAUAUUGAGAUGGAGAGAUUAUCAUGGAUUAUCCAGAUGGGCAUGAUGUAAUCACAAGAGUAUCCUGCAAGAGGGGUGCGGGAGUAGUCACAACCAGACAGAAGAGGCAGUGUGGUGAUGAAGAUGGAAGUAUAGGGACACAAAGAAAGAGAUUUGAAGAUGCUACACUGCUGGCUUUGAAGAGGGAAGAAAGGGACAUGAGACAAAGAAUGUAAACGGCUUCUGGGUUGGUAGCAUUUGUUGUCAGUUUUGGUGCAUGACUUCCCACAGGACACAAGUGUUAGGUGGACUGUGGAUGGUGAUGAGCACAGAGAAUUUUAAAAGAAAGAUGAGUUGCUUCU